UGGGGAAUAUUGGGCAAUGGGGGGAAACCCUGACCCAGCAACGCCGCGUGAAGGAAGAAGGCCUUCGGGUUGUAAACUUCUUUUACCAGGGACGAAGGACGUGACGGUACCUGGAGAAAAAGCAACGGCUAACUACGUGCCAGCAGCCGCGGUAAUACGUAGGUGGCAAGCGUUGUCCGGAUUUACUGGGUGUAAAGGGCGUGUAGCCGGGCCGACAAGUCAGAUGUGAAAUCCACGGGCUUAACCCGUGAACUGCAUUUGAAACUGUUGGUCUUGAGUAUCGGAGAGGUAACCGGAAUUCCUAGUGUAGCGGUGAAAUGCGUAGAUAUUAGGAAGAACACCAGUGGCGAAGGCGGGUUACUGGACGGCAACUGACG
rnacentral:rRNA from 1 species